rnacentral:rRNA from 1 species
UACGUAGGGCGCAAGCGUUGUCCGGAAUUAUUGGGCGUAAAGAGCUCGUAGGCGGCUUGUCACGUCGGGUGUGAAAGCCCGGGGCUUAACCCCGGGUCUGCAUUCGAUACGGGCUGGCUAGAGUGUGGUAGGGGAGAUCGGAAUUCCUGGUGUAGCGGUGAAAUGCGCAGAUAUCAGGAGGAACACCGAUGGCGAAGGCAGAUCUCUGGGCCGUAACUGACGCUGAGGAGCGAAAGCAUGGGGAGCGAACAGG